CAAUAACAGGUCUGUGAUGCCCUUAGAUGUUCUGGGCCGCGCGCGCGCUACACUGAUGCGAUCAACGAGCCUAGCAUUGGCAGAGAGGUCCGGGUAAUCUUGCAAACCGCAUCGUGAUGGGGAUAGAUUAUUGCAAUUAUUAAUCUUCAACGAGGAAUGCCUAGUAAGCGCGAGUCAUCAGCUCGCGUUGAUUACGUCCCUGCCCUUUGUACACACCGCCCGUCGCUCCUACCGAUUGGGUGUGCCGGUGAAGCGUUCGGAUUGGUGGCCCCAAGCGGUUCGCCGCCGGGGACAACCGAGAAGUUCGUUAAACCCUCCCACCUAGAGGAAGGAGAAGUCGUAACAAGGUUUCCGUAGGUGAACCUGCGGAAGGAUC
rnacentral:rRNA from 1 species